rnacentral:lncRNA from 1 species
GGAUGGUUUCAGAUAUCCGAUCCAUCUGAAAUCUUAAUAGGAUCCAUUUAGUAUAUUUUAUUGGAUUUGGGAUGGAUUUGAAAUUUACAACUAAAAUUGAAAUAGAUUUAGGAUGAGUUUGAGAUUUUUCUUUUGAAUAUCCAUUAUCCGAAUCUAGUAAUCUACAAUAAGUGAGACAAACCCCUGGUCAUCGUAUAUGCUUCUUUAUCCGAUCACUACUCCAAAUCUCCCACCCAAUUAAGACUGAAAAAAGCAAAAGAAAUCGGGAGAGCAAAUGAAAGAAAAAUCUAAAAAAACCAAUAAAAGAUGUGAAAAUUAAAAUAUAAAAUAUUUUUUCUCAUAAAUUAUUUUUUUUUAUUAUUUUUUUCUCUUUUUAUAUCAUUCUCUUGUUCGGAGAUAAAGAGAGCACCCAAGGGAUAUCAGAGGGGUUUCUUAGGCUCCAAUUGGGAAUUUUUCUCAUGCAUAUGAGAUUUUGUACAAGUGGUGGCGUGCAUUACUUUCUUGGGAUUUUCAGAGAAUAAUCUUGAUAGAAGCAUAAUACCACCUUUUUAAUAUGUCAUGUGGAUGCAUGAAUGAAGCCUUUCUCACGCUGUCAAUCUGUGUCAUGGUAGCUUGCACCAGCCGCCAUAGACCCAAAGAGAUAAGGACUCAAUGGAUAAUUAGGCAGGUUUGGGUAUCCGAUGGGUAUAUCACUUUUAAAUGGGAUGGAUUUGAGAUUUUUGAUUUGUAAUUGGAUUUAGGACAGAUUUGGAUAGUAAUAUUUUAAACGGGUUCGGAUGUGGGUAGGAUAAAUUUUAUAGAUAUCCCAUCCGUUGCCACCCCUACCACAAUGCACCACUAUAUGGCUCUUAACUGCUAUCAUCACUACAUAUUUUAAUAUAUUUUAUAAAAUAAAGUAUAAAAUGUUGCAACUCUUUUUUCUGAACACAAUAAACAGAUGUAACUAUCAAAUAUCCUUUUAGCUUUGAAAAUCUAAAACA